GAACGAUAUAACUUUUACAAAACAUAAAAUAAAAUAACUCCAAAGUGAGCAUGGUACACAGUCAAAACCACUAAAUGACGACAUUUCGUAUCGUUUCUGAUCGUAUGUUUCUCGCCCAGCCAAACGUUCAUUUAUUUAAAUGAUCUCGGGCUUAGUCUCAGAGGUAUCUUCACCCGAGAGAACACCACUGAAGCUGGAGAGCCGCACAUCAUGCACAUAAAUAUACAUUAUCCGCAAAUCAAGAAUGACUUACUACAAAGUAAGAAUUUGUUCCCUUGUUUUUCCUUCAUUUUAUAUAAUAAUGGCCACAAAUCUAUACAGGCGAAUUAUUUUUGCAACCCAGGCUCAUUUGAAAUACUUGCAUCGCAUCUGCAGUACUGUUAUCAUGCACCCUGCACGUUUGCGGCAGUCUCAAAGUGACACGUCCAGUAAGUGGCACUGUUUUUAUUGUUUUCAUUGCAUCGAUGUGCAUGCAUUGCCGUGUUUGCAUUACUGUCAUUACUUCAGAUACGUAUUUCAGGGCUUCAUAAUCCGAAGUGUGUCACUAAAAGUUAAUGCUCUACAUCAAACCUAACUCUAAACCUUCCCGAUAGUGUUACCAGAUGCAAAAGUGAUAUAGAAAUGGUUUUGUCGGUGCAGCUAUUUUAACUUCCUUAUGCGGAUUUGAGUUGUUUGAUGAACCCUAGUCGUACAGGGUUCGUCCGAAGCUCUUCGACAGAUUUCCUGUCAAGACAUGGUAUUUAAUGCGAAUGACCAACUUCCUCUUCCUGGCAGUACAAGUAAUACGAGACCACAGCAGAUCAGACUCCAUCCAUCUGCAAUGAAAUUUGGUCCCAUUCUCAUGUUCUUCGUGACAGAUCUAAUCUCCAGCACAGGUAUUAAAGCUCUUCAUUUGAUUUCUGUUUUAAUAUACAGAUUAGCCUACAUGACGUCCAUUGCAAAAGUAGCAGACUAUUCAUAUUUGCAUAUUUAGAGAAUACUGUAAAUACUGCGUGUUAGAAAUAUUGUAAAAUUAUCACUACAUCAUGAAAGCUUAAUAACAAACGUCAGGAAAAAAAAAUGCAUUUUGCCAGACUCACUGGUUAAAAAAAAACAAAAAAAAAACUGUAAAAUAUUUGUUAAAAUGGCACAAUUUUUUUUUUUUCAUUUAUUUUUUUAUCGUUAUUCUUUUCAAGCAAGAAUUGCCUUUCCAGAUGGAUAGAUAAACAAAUAAACAAACAAACAAACAGGGAAAAGGAAAAUGAAAAGAUAUAAUGAAAUAUGCCAUUUGUUUGAAUAAUUUAGUGAAAGUAUCACGCAGAAUAAAUAUGUGCUAUAAAUAAAUAAAUAGGCCUACAUGUAAAUGUCAAACAUGGUUGCAGGGUUAAAAGGUUGUUCUCGUUUUUUUUUCUCCUCAGUAUCCAGAUCUGAAGACCAUGUGUUCGUACAGACGGGGACUCUGUUACACUGGACAUAAAAAAUAAACCACUGCUAAAGUUUACAAGAUUACUUUGGAUGAAUGAUGAAUCAGAAAAUAUAGUCAGAUUUGUAAAUGAAUCUGGAGAUAUAACAUGUUUUGUAUACAAGGACAGAGUGGAUUUCAAUAAUAAAACACUCUCUGUGACUCUGAAGAACAUGCAGAAGACAGACAGUGGACUCUACACAGCAAAAACAAUAGGAAAAACAACAACAUUUGUUGCAGAACACAAUGUAUUAGUUAUAGAUCCAGUGGAUUCUCCUGUUCUGAAAACAAAAUUCCCCAUGAUAAGUGUUAACGUCUGUGUCGUGAACGUCUCAUGCAGUGGACCUGAUCAAACAAUCAGACACAGUUACCACAGCAACGACUGCACUCAAGAGGAAGUGACAUCAUCUGGAGUCCAGACUCUAGCCCUGUAUUGUAGAAAGAACAGAGUUGUCUGUAACUACAGCAAUCCAGUCAGCUGGAAGAAUCAAACUAUAGAGAUUAACCAACUUUGUACACCUUAUGAAAAAGAACAUCCAGAAGAAAACAACAGUCCUCUCUUCCUUUGGCUCUCGGUCAUCGCUGGUGUAUUUGUGCUGGUUUUCACAGCAGUUUCUUACAAGAAGCGUAAAAGGGUGCUGAACAGAAGGGUCAUAAAGGCUGUGGAGAAGUUGGUCUAAUAGAUAGAUCUUCUUCCUCUGGAACAGAUCAUACAAUUUAUUCAAUAGUGUAUUAUUCAACAGUGAUGGAAGACAACCUGUGCAUAAACAGCAAAUUAUGAAAAAUGUGAAACAGCUCAUGAUAUUUAAGCAUGAGCAAAUAAAGGUGAAGUGCCAUGUCUCUCUCUCAUAGCCAUGAGAAACCUUUUUUAUUAAAAUUAUGUCCCUGUUUAAAUACAAGCCUUGUUUUUAUC